rnacentral:rRNA from 1 species
GACGAACGAUGGCGGCGUGCUUAACACAUGCAAGUCGAGCGGUAAGGCCCUUUCGGGGUACGACGAGCGGCGAACGGGUAGAGUAACACGUGGGUGGACCUGCCCUCCAGCUCUGGGAGUAAGCCUGGGAAACGUAGGGUCGUAAUACUGGAUAUGACUCCACGGUGCAUGUCGUGGGGUGGAAAGCCUUGUGCGGCUGAGGAUGGGCCCGCGGCCUAUCAGCUUGUUGGUGGGGUGAUGGCCUACCAAGGCGACGACGGGUAGCCGGCCUGAGAGGGCGACCGGCCACACUGGGACUGAGACACGGCCCA